GACGAACGCUGGCGGCGUGCUUAACACAUGCAAGUCGAACGAUGAAGAAAAGAAUUGAAGCUUCGGCAGAAAUUCAUUUCGGAUUAGUGGCAGACGGGUGAGUAACGCGUGAGCAACCUACCUCUUACAAAGGGAUAGCCUCGGGAAACCGGGAUUAAUACCAUAUAACAUUGCGACGAAGCAUUUCGAUGCAAUCAAAGCUACGGCGGUAAGAGAUGGGCUCGCGUCCCAUUAACCAGAUGGGGAGGUAACGGCUCACCAUAGUAACGAUGGGUAACCGGCCUGAGAGGGUGAACGGCCACACUGGAACUGAGACACGGUCCAGACUCCUACGGGAAGCAGCAGUGGGGAAUAUUGCACAAUGGAGGGAACUCUGAUGCAGCGACGCCGCGUGAGUGAUGAAGGAAUUCGUAUCGUAAAACUCUGUUCUAUGGGAAGAAAAGGACUGUACCAUAGGAGAAAGCUCCGGCUAAAUACGUG
rnacentral:rRNA from 1 species